UGGGGAAUAUUGCACAAUGGGCGCAAGCCUGAUGCAGCCAUGCCGCGUGUAUGAAGAAGGCCUUCGGGUUGUAAAGUACUUUCAGCGGGGAGGAAGGGAGUAAAGUUAAUACCUUUGCUCAUUGACGUUACCCGCAGAAGAAGCACCGGCUAACUCCGUGCCAGCAGCCGCGGUAAUACGGAGGGUGCAAGCGUUAAUCGGAAUUACUGGGCGUAAAGCGCACGCAGGCGGUUUGUUAAGUCAGAUGUGAAAUCCUCGGGCUCAACCUGGGAACUGCAUCUGAUACUGGCAUGCUUGAGUCUCGUAGAGGGGGGUAGAAUUCCAGGUGUAGCGGUGAAAUGCGUAGAGAUCUGGAAGAAUACCGGUGGCGAAGGCGGCCCCCUGGACGAAGACUGACGCUCAGGUGCGAAAGCGUGGAGAGCAAACAGG
rnacentral:rRNA from 1 species